rnacentral:rRNA from 1 species
CUCGGGUGACGAGUGGCGGACGGGUGAGUAAUGUCUGGGAAACUGCCUGAUGGAGGGGGAUAACUACUGGAAACGGUAGCUAAUACCGCAUAACGUCGCAAGACCAAAGAGGGGGACCUUCGGGCCUCUUGCCAUCAGAUGUGCCCAGAUGGGAUUAGCUAGUAGGUGGGGUAACGGCUCACCUAGGCGACGAUCCCUAGCUGGUCUGAGAGGAUGACCAGCCACACUGGAACUGAGACACGGUCCAGACUCCUACGGGAGGCAGCAGUGGGGAAUAUUGCACAAUGGGCGCAAGCCUGAUGCAGCCAUGCCGCGUGUAUGAAGAAGGCCUUCGGGUUGUAAAGUACUUUCAGCGGGGAGGAAGGUGUUGUGGUUAAUAACCGCAGCAAUUGACGUUACCCGCAGAAGAAGCACCGGCUAACUCCGUGCCAGCAGCCGCGGUAAUACGGAGGGUGCAAGCGUUAAUCGGAAUUACUGGGCGUAAAGCGCACGCAGGCGGUCUGUCAAGUCGGAUGUGAAAUCCCCGGGCUCAACCUGGGAACUGCAUUCGAAACUG